rnacentral:lncRNA from 1 species
CAGAGACUGCGAACAACUGAGAGGAGCCAGGGGCCCUCCUGCCUCCCUACCAGUAGUUUCAGAGAAAUGGUAGACACCCCCAAAUUUCAUGUCUUGCACCUGAGGGAGGGUUGCGAUAGCAACUCACAGACCACUGCGGAACUUCAAGGUCGCUGCUGGGAAGGGUGGCGCACACCUGUACUCCCAGCAAUUGGGAGGCUGAGGCGGGAGGAUCACUGCGAGUUCAAGGGCAGCUUGGGCUACCUAGUGAAUUCAAGCCCAGCCUGAACUACAGAGCAAGACCCUGUUUCAAAAAACCAACAAUAAUUAAUUAAUUGUAUGAAGACCCUGGUUCGAUGUCAGCUGUGGAACCCAACGCACUGUCAUUACCCACUGCAGGCCAGGAGGGCCUGAGGCUUGUGUGCAGUUCCAGAUCUUGAGCCAACCCAAGAAACUGCUACCUAAACAUUCGUUCUUCAUGAUGUCAGUGAGACGGGGAAGAAGAAUUUUCUUCUCUCCCAAGGGAAGGGAGGACACAUCCUCAUCACCACCACAGACCAUGGCAUUAAUGAGCCAGACAGACAGCGCCGCUGAACACACAGACAAAUGCUGAGCGGAUGCCAAGAUAAGAUGAAAAAGCACCUGCCAGCAGCCAGAUCUUGGUUUUAUCAAAUCCAGGUGGGGCGCCCAGAGAAGGGCCAAACUGCUCCAGGGCCAGAGAGCAAAGGUUCAUGAAAUGACCUUGAAGAUCAAGGUGACAAUAUUUAUGGCUCUGAGCCGAACAGAAGUGCAGAUGCCUCAGAGCCCCGGGCCGCAGUUAAGGUGACGAGAUGCAGCAAUUCUUUAUGAACAUUUCAUUCCUGCUCGCUACACGACGUAAAUUAGAUGGUGUGUUACAUUCGGGCAAUAAGAGAGAUAUGUCACCACGACGCUGGCCCAUUGGAUGGAGAGGGUCGUCCUUCCGUCUGCGCAGCCUGAGCUCUCUCCUCCAAGGGCCAGGGAGACACGGGCAGAGCCCCAGCAGCGGAACUCUUCACUGCGCUCCUGCUGUCUGCUGCAGGCCCACAGCCUGGGGGCAGUUUGGAAGGCCGAGGCCAGCGGAGGCUGGGCCUGAGAGUGAGGCUCCGGACUGUGCCUGCUCCUGGGCCGGACCCAGAACUGUGCCCCUCAGGGGAGCAUCGCCUCUCCUUCUGGGGCUUUGCCCUCGAGGCCGAAGAUGCUGUGCUGGAG